UACAGAGGUGGCAAGCGUUGUUCGGAAUUACUGGGCGUAAAGGGCGCGUAGGCGGCCUUCUAAGUCAGACGUGAAAUCCCCCGGCUUAACCUGGGAACUGCGUCUGAUACUGGGAGGCUUGAGUAUGGGAGAGGGAUGUAGAAUUCCAGGUGUAGCGGUGAAAUGCGUAGAUAUCUGGGGAGAUACCGGUGGCGAAGGCGGCAUCCUGGACCAUAACUGACGCUGAGGCGCGAAAAGCUAGGGGAGCAAACGGG
rnacentral:rRNA from 1 species